AUUCCAGCUCCAAGAGCGUAUAUUAAAGUUGUUGCAGUUAAAAAGCUCGUAGUUGGAUUUCUGGUACAACGCGCCUGGCCCGCUUUUAGUGAGUGCCGGUGCGCGUUUGCCAUCCUUCUAGAAAACGUUUCUACCUGGGCAACCGGGCCGGACUCGCGAUCUAGAUCUUUUACUUUGAAAAAAUUAGAGUGUUUAAAGCAGGCUUUUGCUGUGAAUACAUUAGCAUGGAAUAAUAAUCUAGGACUUCGGUUCUAUUUUGUUGGUUUCUAGUACUGAAGUAAUGAUUGAUAGGGAUAGUUGGUGGCAUUCGUAUUUAACUGUCAGAGGUGAAAUUCUUGGAUUUGUUAAGGACGGACUACUGCGAAAGCAUUUGCCAAGGAUGUUUUCAUCG
rnacentral:rRNA from 1 species